GAUGAACGCUGGCGGUAUGCUUAACACAUGCAAGUCGAACGGACUCUUCGGAGUUAGUGGCGGACGGGGGAGUAACGCGUGAGAAUCUGGCUUUGGGUUCGGGACAACCACUGGAAACGGUGGCUAAUACCGGAUGUGCCGAGAGGUAAAAGAGAAAUUGCCUGAAGAUGAGCUCGCGUCUGAUUAGAUAGUUGGUGAGGUAAAGGCUCACCAAGGCAGCGAUCAGUAGCAGGUCUGAGAGGAUGACCAGCCACACUGGGACUGAGACACGGCCCAGACUCCUCCGGGAGGCAGCAGUGGGGAAUUUUCCGCAAUGGGCGAAAGCCUGACGGAGCAAUACCGCGUGAGGGAAGAAGGCUCUUGGGUUGUAAACCUCUUUACUUAGGGAAGAACAAAAUGACGGUACCUAAGGAAUCAGCAUCGGCUAACUCCGUG
rnacentral:rRNA from 1 species